rnacentral:rRNA from 1 species
UGGUCAAGUUAUUAAGGGUGCAGGGCGGAUGCCUUGGCACUAGGAGCCGAUGAAGGACGUGAUAAGCUGCGAUAAGCUUCGGGGAGUUGCACGUAAACUUUGAUCCGAAGAUUUCCGAAUGAGGAAACUCACUUAGAGUAAUGUCUAAGUAUCAUUAAGUGAAUACAUAGCUUAAUGAGGGGAACUCAGGGAACUGAAACAUCUAAGUACCUGAAGGAAGAGAAAGAAAUUCGAUUCCGUAAGUAGCGGCGAGCGAACGCGGAUUAGCCCAAACCAAUAAAGUUUUCUUUAUUGGGGUUGCGGACAUAUCAUAACGAAGAGGUAUCGUAAUUGAAGAGGUUUGGAAAGACCCACCACAGAAGGUAAUAGUCCUGUAUGUUAAACGAGAAGACUUUAGAUAUGAUCCAGAGUACCACGGGACACGUGAAACCCUGUGGGAAGCAGGAGGGACCACCCUCCAAGGCUAAAUACUACCUAGUGACCGAUAGCAUAUAGUACCGUGAGGGAAAGGUGAAAAGAACCCCGGGAGGGGAGUGAAAUAGAACCUGAAACCCUGCACUUACAAGCUGUGGAAGCACAUUUCUUGUGUGACCGCGUACUUUUUGUAGAACGGGCCAACGAGUUACGUUAAGUAGCAAGGUUAAGCACUUAAGGUGCGGAGCCGUAGCGAAAGCGAGUUUUAACUGAGCGUUCAGUUACUUGACGUAGACCCGAAACCGGGCGACCUACCCAUGAGCAGGAUGAAGCGAAAGUAAAAUUUCGUGGAGGUCCGAACCCACGAGCGUUGAAAAGCUCGGGGAUGACUUGUGGGUAGCGGUGAAAUUCCAAUCGAGCCCGGAGAUAGCUGGUUCUCCCCGAAAUAGCUUUAGGGCUAGCCUCAAGGUGAGAGAUACGGAGGUAGAGCACUGAAUGUCCUAGGGGGUAUUGCACCUACCGAAGACUAUCAAACUCCGAAUGCCGUCAUCUUAUACUUGGGAGUCAGACUGUGGGUGAUAAGAUUCAUAGUCGAAAGGGCAACAGCCCAGAUCGUCAGCUAAGGUCCCUAAAUGUAAGUUAAGUGGUAAAGGAUGUGGGAUUGCACAGACAACCAGGAUGUUGGCUUAGAAGCAGCCACUCAUUCAAAGAGUGCGUAAUAGCUCACUGGUCGAGUGAUCCUGCGCCGAAGAUUUCCGGGGCUAAAACUUACUACCGAAGCUACGGCAUCAGUAAUGAUGGGUAGGGGAGCUUCCCAUACGGGUUGAAGCAUGACCGUAAGGACAUGUGGACAGUAUGGGAGUGAGAAUGUUGGCAUGAGUAGCGAGAUGUGGGUGAGAAUCCCACAGGCCGUAAACCCAAGGUUUCCAGGGGAAGGUUCGUCCGCCCUGGGUUAGUCGGGACCUAAGCUGAGGCCGAAAGGCGUAGGUGAUGGACAACAGGUUGAUAUUCCUGUACUACCGAUAACCGUUUGAGAGAAGGGAUGACACAGUAGGAUAAGCUAAGCACACUGUUGGUUAUGUGUGCCCAAGCAUUGAGGCAGUCAAAGUAGGCAAAUCCGCUUUGAUAAUGCUGGGAUGUGAUGGGGAGCGAAAUUUAGUAGCGAAGUAGCUGAUUUCACACUGUCAAGAAAAGUCUCUAUCGAGGUUAAAGGUACCCGUACCGCAAACCGACACAGGUGGGUGAGGAGAGUAUCCUAAGGCCAGCGAGAGAACUGUUGUUAAGGAACUCGGCAAAAUGACCCCGUAACUUAGGGAUAAGGGGUGCCACCAUCAGGUGGCCGCAGAGAAUAGGCCCAAGCGACUGUUUACCAAAAACAUAGGUUUCUGCUAAGUCGCAAGACGAUGUAUAGGAGCUGACGCCUGCCCGGUGCUGGAAGGUUAAGGGGAUCUGUUAGAGCAAUCGAAGCAGUGAACUUAAGCCCCAGUAAACGGCGGCCGUAACUAUAACGGUCCUAAGGUAGCGAAAUUCCUUGUCGGGUAAGUUCCGACCCGCACGAAAGGCGUAACGAUUUGGGCACUGUCUCAACAACAGACUCGGUGAAAUUGUAAUUCCGGUGAAGAUGCCGGAUACCUGCGACAGGACGGAAAGACCCCAUGGAGCUUUACUGUAGCUUGACAUUGGGUCUUGGUACUACAUGUACAGGAUAGGUGGGAGGCUUUGAAACCAGGACGCCAGUUUUGGCGGAGCCAUCCUUGGGAUACCACCCUUGUAGUACUGGGACUCUAACCAUAGGCCAUGAAUCUGGUCUUGGGACACUGUCAGGUGGGCAGUUUGACUGGGGCGGUCGCCUCCCAAAAGGUAACGGAGGCGCUCAAAGGUUCUCUCAGUACGGUCGGAAAUCGUACGUAGAGUGUAAAGGCAAAAGAGAGCUUGAUUGCAAGACAUACAGGUCGAGCAAGGAUGAAAAUCGGACUUAGUGAUCCGGUGGUUCUGCGUGGAAGGGCCAUCGCUCAACGGAUAAAAGCUACCCUGGGGAUAACAGGCUUAUCUCCCCCAAGAGUCCACAUCGACGGGGAGGUUUGGCACCUCGAUGUCGGCUCAUCACAUCCUGGGGCUGUAGUAGGUCCCAAGGGUUGGGCUGUUCGCCCAUUAAAGUGGUACGCGAGCUGGGUUCAGAACGUCGUGAGACAGUUCGGUCCCUAUCCGUCGCAGGCGUAGGAAAUUUGAGAAGACCUGUCCUUAGUACGAGAGGACCGGGAUGGACGUACCUCUGGUGUACCAGUUGUUCUGCCAAGGGCAUGGCUGGGUAGCUAUGUACGGAAUGGAUAAGCGCUGAAAGCAUCUAAGCGCGAAGCCAACUUCAAGAUAAGAUUUCCCACCGCAAGGGUAAGACCCCAGAAAGACUAUCUGGUUGAUAGGUCGAAGGUGUAAGUGCAGCAAUGUAUUUAGCUUAUCGAUACUAAUAGGUCGAGGACUUGACCAAU